AGCUACACAUCAGCUGCUCAACUAGUUCCAUAUACCUCUACUGUCAAAUUUCACCCAAUUUGACAACAGUCACAUAUACCGUAAGCACAUUUUAUAAAUAACUUUUUAUGCAAGAAAACGUGCCAAACUUUCUGACCGGUAGCUGAAUCUGCAACAGUUGAAAAAUGGAAAAGCUAAACAGCAUCAUCAGCCAGCUCAAAGUGUUUUUAAAGACAGACAGGCUUUCUCAGGUUAGAGAUGCCCUUCCGGAUUCGUUAUUCCUUUUGGAGAAGGGAUAUAAUUUAGUAACGACAGACAAUACAACGAGAUACUCGUUGAAACUAAUUGAAAGCGUAAUCGACAUCUCUUGGGAAGAUCUUAACAUAGGCCAUUGGAGUACAGUGCCAGAGAAUCAUAGAAAACUGCAUGCGCUUGCUUGUUUUUUAAAAGUUAUAGGAUUGCUCCAAUUGGCGAUGCAGGAUGAUGAAAAUACGGCGGACAAUUUAAAGGAAGCUGUACGAACUGCUGACUUAGGAUUGAUUUUAGGUUGUGGCUUUCAUGAUGAACUUUCAACUGCUGCUAGACUAAUCAGCUCAGCUUUAUUUGAACUUGAAUCAGACAGUUUUGACCCUGAAAUUUCCAAGUGUACUUAUUCUUCUAACUGUGAUGCAUUCCCAGGAAUAAAAGGAGAAGAAAUAUGUUCUCUCAAACUCCCUUCAUUGCAAUAUUUCAGCGAACAUCAUUUUUAUCCACAGAAACCAGCCAUAUUGCUUGAUUGUAUCUCUCAUUGGCCAGCAUUUGGAAAGUGGGAUAAUAUAAAUUAUUUAAAAAAGGUCGCUGGGCACAGAACAGUACCGAUUGAACUCGGAUCAUCGUAUACGGAAAACGAUUGGGGGAUGCGGCUGACGACUUUACAGGAAUUUAUCGAAAACCAUAUUAUCAGAAAAGGCGAUUCAGUUGGAUACCUUGCCCAGCAUCAACUGUUCAAUCAGGUCCCUGAAUUGCAAAAUGAUAUUUGCGUACCUGAAUAUUGUUGUAUUUCAGAUUUAGAAGACGGAAGUUACGGAGUAGACACAAAUGCUUGGUUCGGCCCAGCAGGAACUGUAACUCCGUUGCAUUACGAUCCUAAACACAACUUAUUCUGCCAGCAAGAGGGUAUUAUUGUACUCACCAGAAGAUUCGGAAAAUUUAUAUCCUCAUGAUGCUACAAUGCUCAAUAAUACGGCACAGGUCGAUCCUUAUUCUCCAAACUACGAUUUAUUUCCAAAAUAUAGACAAGCCAAAGCAUAUGAAUGCCAUUUAAGACCAGGGGAGAUGUUAUACAUUCCUCCAAAAUGGUGGCAUCAUAUCCGAUCUUUGGAUAUUAGCUUCUCAGUCAGUUUUUGGUGGGAAUAAGAAAAAAAAUGAUUUAAACGGUUUUGGAGCUAAUGAAGAUUCAUGAUGCACAAACGCAUGCCUGACCCAUUCUUCAUCGUAAAACCUUGGAUCAGCAAGUCUUAGAA
rnacentral:misc_RNA from 1 species